rnacentral:rRNA from 1 species
GUGCAGCAGUCGAGAAUCCUUCGCAAUGUGCGAAAGCAUGACGAGGCGACGCCGCGUGGAAGAUGAAGCCCUGCGGGGUGUAAAUUCCGUUUUAUAGGGGGAAGGAACUUUUGUGACUGUACCCUAUGAAUAAGGAGCUACUAAUCACGUGCCAGCGGUAGCGGUAAUACGUGAGCUCCGAGCGUUAUCCGGAUUUACUGGGCG